rnacentral:rRNA from 1 species
UACAGAGGGUGCAAGCGUUAAUCGGAAUUACUGGGCGUAAAGCGUGCGCAGACGGUUGCGUAAGUCAGAUGUGAAAGCCCCGGGCUCAACCUGGGAACGGCGCUUGGGACGGCGAGGCUGGAGUUCGGGAGAGGAGAGUGGAGUUCCCAGUGUAGAGGUGAAAUUCGUAGAUAUUGGGAAGAACACCGGUGGCGAAGGCGGCUCUCUGGACCGACACUGACGCUGAGGCGCGAAAGCGUGGGGAGCAAACAGG